UUUCGUGAGUGUUAAUGGCGUCCUUGUUUCUUUGAUGAGUUGAAAUUUUCCUGCUGUCAUUGCUGACAAUCAUGAUUUUAUAUAAAGAUUGAAUUGGACACCGAUCCUUUAUCACAAAACCAAUAAUUAUCAAAACACCAAUCAGUGCAUGACGAGCUUUCUGCAAACAGAGUUGAUUUAAGAAUUAAUUUGUCAUUUUUUACGUUAUCACAAAAUCAGCAAUGAUUGAGUGCACGAAAAGCUUGGUACAGAGUUGAUUACUGGAUUUUUAUUGUUUUACAAUUAUCACAAACCCAGCAAUCAUUAUCACAAAAUUAGCAAUCAGUAAGUGCACGAUGAGCUUGGUUCAAAGUGGAUAUUGAAUUUUUCAUGUUAUACAGUUAUCAAUAAACCAAUCAUUGUCACAAAACCAAUCAUCAUCAAAAUUUUGGGGGCAAUCCUUUGAUGCAUAUUGUGUGAUACCAUCCUUCACAACCCUUUGUGUUCAAUCCGAUGAGCUCCAACCCCUUUUUCUCCAAUCCGGUUCGGCGACAACAGCUCUUCUUCUUGAACAAUCUCCAUAGACGUCUUGGCUCGGAUUGGAUCCGAUGGAAAUGGCGUUAAGGUUCCCGAAACCAAACCGUCCAUCAGGUGCGCACACAACUUCUUUGUGUUGUAUAAUCUGUUUUCGGGUUCUUCUCCGUUGGCCAAACUUGUGGCAAAAGCAAUGGCCGAGACUCCGCAAUCAUAUCCGUUACUUUGACGCUGACGAGAUUUGCAGAGAUUGCGAGAUUCGAGAGACUCGACAUGCAGCUUAGGAUGUGGUCGUUCUUCCAUGGCGUGCUGGGCAUACUGUCAUAACCCAGGACGUGGUUAGGUUAGAAAAACCUUUAGCGACACACACCCAAUGGUUUGACCCUUUUUGGAUUAUUUGCAACCAUUGGUCGCCCUGCGCGGGAGGGAAUUCAAGUGUCACCCCCAUUGUGGAGCAAUACAACCCUCCGAUCGUUGGAUGAAUUCUUUUCAGGAUCACUUGGGCCAAUUUGAUGUCGCCCGUGUUUAGAUAAUUUUUGUUCGUUAUCACUUGGGGCUUAUCCAAGAAGAGAUGUGGCUCUCUGAUUCUGGUUCUAUGUGUUUUGGCUUGCGAUAAGUUUUUAGAACCUAUCAAUAGACGGAUCAUCAAUCGUAGCAGCGUCCACUUUGCAUUUUCCGUCGGCAGACAAAUCGUAUGGUGAAACGGUGGAAGCUUCCACUACGCAACUUUCGUCCGCAAGAGGACUAUCAGCGGGUGAGGAAGUGAUGAGAUCAAUGUUAUUGCACGUUUCUUCCUCUCGUGCAAUGGCCUCGGCUUCCUCGUUCAGGAUUGCCGCUUCUACUUCCAAUCGAUCAUCGAAGUCGUUUCUUUCCAGUCUUUUCUUUUUUGCCUGCUUGUGGUAUGGGUGGAAGUAGCCUUUGUUCUCCUUCAGCCUGCCCCGUUUUCUUGUUGCAACCGGCAAAUGAAGGGCUGCCCUUGACGAGAUCUACAAGCAAAUCAGUACUGUCAUCAGUAGUAGGAGGUUCUUCAUUAAGAUCAGCUCUACCUUCUUCCUUUUUACCUCUUGUCGACUUGACUGGACCAACUGAAUUGGCUUAUCCGUCUUGAUCAGGGUGUGUAUGUCGUGAAACAGCCUCAUCUUCUCCUGGAAAUCUGGUAUGGUCAGGGAACUGAUUGAAAAAACAGAGCAAUGUAGACUUUUUAUUUCUUUUGUAUUGUGGUGGUUAAAAAAUCCGAAGCGUGGACUUUUUCUCGUUCUGUGAAAAUUCAUUAUUCCUUGUUUUGAUGUUCUGUUUGACAACAAUUAAUUUAUGAGUUAUUGUUCCUGAUGAACCAAAUAUAAAAUAGAUUUUUUCUCUA
rnacentral:lncRNA from 1 species